rnacentral:rRNA from 14 species
GCUGCUGGAGUGCAGGAGCGGAGGUUGGUAUGCGAAUGAAGCGUGGGGGGUGGAGGCCAAUCAAACCGGGAGAUAGCUGGUUCUCCCCGAAAUCUAUUUAGGU